AAUCUUGGGAGUGGUCCUAGUGGAUCCACGAGUAGCUCUUUUGUUGCUUGUGGUUAUCCAACCAUCAACUCGAAUUAGCAAUUUCUCUUGAGCAACCCACAAUUAUCUUCUCAAGAAAGCGUUGUGUGUAACCAGUUGUCAUCACAACAAUCUGACAAUAAUUAAUCGAUGGGAAGAGCAUCAUAUACGUUCUAAUAUUUUGUCAAAAGAUUUAUGUUCCAAGAAGCAGACUAUAAGGACGUUCGGUGUGAAUGUGUUGGCAGUCUAAUAAUUUGUGGCUCUCUGUAGAUUUUGUAUAGUCAAUUUAUUUUUAUCUUAUGGGCCCACUGUAUUAAUUAUCAGGUGGCUGAGAUUUUUAAUAAGGUGUCCAUAUAAUGCUUGAGGCAGACCAAAGUAGGAUUUAUUUGGUAGCUGUUUCAAAAUGAUGAUUGGAAGGGUAUUUUUUUUUU